rnacentral:rRNA from 1 species
AAUGAACGCUGGCGGCGCGCCUAAUACAUGCAAGUCGAGCGAGAAGACGUAGCAAUACGUUUGUAAAGCGGCGAACGGGUGAGGAAUACAUGGGUAACCUACCCUCGAGUGGGGAAUAACUAGCCGAAGGUUAGCUAAUACCGCGUACGCUUCUUGGACUUCGGUUCAGGGAGGAAAGCGAUACCGUGGGUAUCGCGCUCUUGGAUGGGCUCAUGUCCUAUCAGCUUGUUGGNGUAGGUAACGGCUCACCAAGGCUUUGACGGGUAGCUGGUCUGAGAGGACGAUCAGCCACACUGGCACUGCGACACGGGCCAGACUCCUACGGGAGGCAGCAGUAAGGAAUAUUGCGCAA